rnacentral:rRNA from 1 species
UGGCCUCAGAUCAGGRAGGAUCACCCGCC